rnacentral:rRNA from 1 species
UACGAGGGGGGCAAGCGUUGUUCGGAAUUAUUGGGCGUAAAGGGUGCGUAGGCGGUUUGGUAAGUCUUGUGUGAAAUCUACAGGCUCAACUUGUAGUCUGCACGAGAAACUGCCGGGCUUGAGUAUGGGAGAGGUGAGUGGAACUCCGAGUGUAGAGGUGAAAUUCGUAGAUAUCGGGAGGAACACCAGUGGCGAAGGCGGCGACCUGGGCCAAUAUUGACGCUGAGGUGCGAAAGCGUGGGGAGCAAACAGG